GAUGAACGCUGCCAGCAUGCUUAACACAUGCAAGUCCACUUGAAUUUGGGUUUUUAACUUAGGUUUGGGUGGCGGACGGGUGAGUAACGCGUAAAGAACUUGCCUCACAUCUAGGGACAACAUUUGGAAACGAAUGCUAAUACCUAAUAUUAUGAUAAUAGGGCAUCCUAUAAUUAUGAAAGCUAUAAGCGCUGUGAGAGAGCUUUGCGUCCCAUUAGCUAGUUGGAGAGGUAACGGCUCACCAAGGCGAUGAUGGGUAGCCGGCCUGAGAGGGUGAUCGGCCACAAGGGGACUGAGACACGGCCCUUACUCCUACGGGAGGCAGCAGUGGGGAAUAUUGGACAAUGGACCGAGAGUCUGAUCCAGCAAUUCUGUGUGCACGAUGAAGUUUUUCGGAAUGUAAAGUGCUUUCAGUUGGGAAGAAACAAAUGACGGUACCAACAGAAGAAGUGACGGCUAAAUACGUG
rnacentral:rRNA from 1 species